AGCAGGCAGGCUCUACCUCACUAGUCGAAGAUACACGUCGGUAGCAGGAGAAGACUUCCGCGUGUCUCUUGACAGCGAUCAGACGGUUAGAGUUAUGCCUAGGAAUCUGCCUGGUAGUGGGGGAUAACUGUCCGGAAACGGACGCUAAUACCGCAUACGUCCUACGGGAGAAAGCAGGGGACCUUCGGGCCUUGCGCUAUCAGAUGAGCCUAGGUCGGAUUAGCUAGUUGGUGGGGUAAUGGCUCACCAAGGCGACGAUCCGUAACUGGUCUGAGAGGAUGAUCAGUCACACUGGAACUGAGACACGGUCCAGACUCCUACGGGAGGCAGCAGUGGGGAAUAUUGGACAAUGGGCGAAAGCCUGAUCCAGCCAUGCCGCGUGUGUGAAGAAGGUCUUCGG
rnacentral:rRNA from 1 species